GAGGCGACGUCGUAAAAUCCUGGAAACGGAUUUGAAGCACCGUAACAGCAAAACGAAGACCCUUUUUGCCCGAGGUUGCAAAGCGAUGCGCGGUUGGUGCGCAACUACAAGUUCGGACGGAACCUGGCACCGGGUGCCGCGGGAGGCCGAUUGCAAGUGUCGACAAGCAAUCGGAACGCGAAUCGAGGUGGGUUGUGCUUACCGAAGCGACUAGGUCGCCUUUAUGUCUAAGAAAAUAUGAUUUCUUAUGAUGCAUAUAGAAAGCAUGUUAUGGUAAUGCUAGUAAUUGCAUGAUUACAUGAUGAGCAUUAUGGCAUAAUGGAUAUAUGCAUAUUAGCAUGUGAGGAAAGUGUGAGAUGAAUACAUGAUGAGCAUAAUGUAGAAAUGCAUGUUAACAUUAUGAAAUGCUGGAUGAGAGAUUCAUAUAGAAAUGAAUGAUAAUGAAUGCAAGCUGAUAAAUGCAUGUUGGUAAAUGCUAAGUAAGUGCAUAUAAGCAUGUCAUGAUGAAAUGCUAGAUGAAUAGAUGCAUGUAACUAACGCUAAGAGAAUGCAUUUGGGCAUAAUGGAUAGAGGCAUGUCGAUGAAUGCAAGUAGAUAAUGCAUGUUAUAGAAAUGCUAGCUAAGCUGCAUGAUUACAUGACGAGCAUAAUGUAGAUAAUGCAUGUUAUAGAAAUGCUAACUAAGUGCAUGAUUACAUGAUGAGCAUUGUGAGGAUAUGCUUGAUUCAGAUGAGUCAAACAUAGGUUGAACAGAAAUGACAUGAACCUAGUGUUAGAGAACAUAGGUCGGGUCUGAACGACAGUGAACCUAAAGUCAUGAACAUAGGUUGAACGUGAAUGACAGGGAACCUAGUGUCGUGAACCUAGGAAAGAUCGAGUAGCAUCUAACCUAGUGUCAAAGAACAUAGGUUGGACAUCAAGUGGCAUUAAACCUAGUGUCUUGAACAUAGGUUGAAUAAGUAUAGUGUGAACCUAGUGUCAUGUAUGUUAGGACACUUAUGGUAUUUGAGCAUAUUUAUAUUUGUAGUCAUGCAUUAUAGGGUGUUUGGCAUUGUGCGAGUGAAAAUGUGAAUUACUAUCAACAGUAAGAACUUGUGAACCUUAGAAUGUGGACAUAGAACCCUAUGAAUGCAUGGACUAUAACAAUAGUGAACUUGGUGACAUUCUAACUAGAGAUUUGGUUAGCAUCGAGCAAUAAAAUUGUGAAACUAGCAUAAAGAGCUAGUUAGAGUUCAAUUGUGGCAUGGCCAGUUAUUGAAUCCUCUAAAGGAGGAUUGGAUCUUACUCACAUAGUCUGUUUUUAGCUUGGUGGAGGUCGCUCCCCCCAGGCAGUGAGCUCCGGAGUUGUCACACGAUGGGCUAACGUACUUGCCCUUGGACUAACGUACUUGUCCAGCAGACGGUCCCUAGGGUGGUUCGAGUCCCCCGUUAUUAAGGGAUUUUGGGUUGUGAGUUAUUGGGGUUAACAAGUGUUAACCGGUAAGAUUGGGUAAAAGCCAAAGUGAUUGGGAAAAAGCAUGCAUUAUGAGCUAUAGAUUGGGUAUCCUUGUCGAGUGGAUUUUGGGGCUGAGGUGUAUGUGAGACGUCCAUUACCUCGAGUCUGGAUGUAUGCGGUAUUCCGCAGAUGAUUGACUCAAGACCGAGUCGGAUGGAUAGCUUUGUUAAGGUAAUAGAAACCUUAAAGCUAGUGGCAAAGGCAAGAACUAAGGUAGUAGAGACCUUAGAAACAAGUUGAGCUUGGUAAUGGAACUAAGGUAAGUAGAAACCUUAGGGGUAAAGGACUUGAGCUGAGAUUAGCCAGUGGAAUGUAGAGUCAAUGGACCUACUAGUGAAUAGUGGAUUAUAUAGAUGCAUAGUGGCAUAGAAAUGCAUGAUAUCCAUAUUGCAUAUCGUGAGGCAAUGCAAGGUUUCAUUAGUUGCAUAAUUUAGAUAUAUAUAUAUCUAUCUGUUUAUUGAACUAACCUGCAGGUUGCCUCUCUUUGACCUAUUGGUCGAGCUUUUCCCUUGGGUGGCCGUACCCACUGGGAACCAUGGAGUUGGUUCUCACCCCACGUUGUUUUGGGGUGUUACAGGUUCGCACGUGAGCGGCGCGGCGGCGCGAGGCAAGGGCGUAGCUUCGUAGAUAGCGCCCUACCCAGAGACCAGAGUUAGCAGUACCCCGUCGACAUAGCUUAGGGGUAUGGGGUGUUAUUAAUGAAAAGAACACAAUGUAUCAACGUGUAAAUAAAUUUGUAAGAACUUAGAUUGCAUUUGGAUGAAAAAGAAUGUAAAAAGAACUGUGAUGUAAAAAGUAUGAAUGUAAAUGUUUGUAAUAAUAUAGGAUGUGUUUAUGUUGUUUGAUACCUUCCAUUAUGCAAUCUUGAUUGAUAUCAGUUCCUGAUUGGAACCUUCGUAUUGUAUGGAUUGCGUUGCCUUGAAUGUACAGGGGAGACUCUGUCCGCAGUACAGGGGAAACCCUGUCCAUUUGGCACUGUUGGCGGCGCCGCGAACCCGACCAAAUAGGCGGCGGUCGCGGGUCGUGACAGAAGAUGGUAUCAGAGCAUAAAGUAGAAAAUGGGGAAAUGGUUUAGGGAGACCUAGGAGACCCUAGGAUAGUAAACCAUAGGAGAAUAAGGCUCGUGAGAGACGAGAACUUGUUACUUGUGGCGAAAGGUUUAUGGAUUUGGUCGUGUCGUAAGCCUCUAAAACGGAUGUUAGAGGUAGACUCGAGGUUUAGUUUAUUCUCAACCGAGAGUGUUCAUGUUGGGUAUACACAACAUGAAACCUGGUGAUGAGAAUAAGCUCCCUUGUAUGACUUUCGCCCGAUUUGAAUCAGUGUCAAUUGUUUCACGCUCGACCUUGAGGGUCGAGAAUCGACCGAGUUGUCGUGUCUUAGGAAGCGAGGGCACCGCGUAGGCGAUCUUCAGGUAGAUCGGCGCGGGUUGGGACGAGUGUCGUUCCUCAGCAAUCCGAGGCGAGCGGAGAUUUGGGACUUCGUGGGAAAUUGGCCACUACUGUGUGAGUGGCGGGGUGACGAGCCGAAUUAGUGCGGCGUCAGCAGGAAGCUGCCGUAUGCCAGGAGGAGCGAAUGAGAAGACUCCAGGAAACGAUAGAUCAGCUGGGGGCCGUACCAGCUGCCGUUCGUCGAGUACGACCGGGAGUUGCGACGGAAGUAUUUCCGUCGGGGUUGAACAAUCUGGCUUUUAGCAUCUCGGAAGCAAAGACGUUGAGGGUGCCAGCUUUGGCGGCCCUCGUGACCUUUAAGCGAUUUGAUCCGUCUGCCUUUGAUAGAGAGAAUACGGAUCCGUUGAUCGUGGAGUUGUGGGUCGACUCCAUGGAAACUCCCUUUGGGGACUUGUGUACUGUAGAGUGGGAUAAGGUACACCUAGCCGUGCGUUACUUGCAAACAAUCGGCGGAGGUGUGGUGGAAAGGCAUUCGACGGAAUCGAUUGCCUAGUUUUCCUCCUAUGAUUCGGAAUGAGUUUCGAGGAUCAAUAUUCCCUGUUUACUUUCCCGAUGCUGAGAAAGAAAAGCUUCAGGAAAGGUUCCCGAAGCUACGGAGGUAGACCGUGCCGUGAGGGAAUAUGAGCGGAAAUUCUCUCGUAUCGUGAGUUGUGUCCCGAACGUAGUGCGGGAUGACAAGGAAUUGGCCGAUGUGCCUCUGCGGAGACCUUGGCCGGACGUGGUCGAGGUGGUGCAUGUAAGGAAGUUACUUCUCGGAAUACGAGAGUUAGACUUCGCUUAGAAUCGACCAAGGGUCGUGUUGGUGUGCUUCGGAAAAGCCGAAGAUGUUUAAGUCACCAAAAGUGCGUUGGAGUUGGAGUCCACGAGAGCAAAUAGUGCAAAGUCUGCACUUGGCGGAGAUUGCUCUCGGGGACCGGUCCUUGGCAGGGAGAGACCGCUCCCCGUAGCUGUUGGUCGCGGGGUUGCUUGAUGCAACUGGUCCUUGGGCCAGAGGAACCGGUCCCCGUAGCUUGAAAUUGCCCAGUUUUGGGCAGUGCACAUUCUUGAGUUGUGGUUGCAAUCCCAACCGAGGAAGUGUCAUCUACUUAACGUUUCGGGAUGUGGGAUUGUAGAAGUUCUCACCAGGCACAGCGGUGUGCGCUGCGUGAUGAAAAGUGAUUUGUUGGGGAUAGCCAGACCUUAGGAUUGGCGAUGGCUUUCUCCUCUCCGAGACAACCUGCAGGUGUGUCACCUACAGCCUGGUCUGGAGAGUGAGUGGCGAGGAGGUGACAACCGAAGGGUUCGCAGCUGGUGCCAAGAGGUCGUGGAUAUGCAAACCGGGUUGUGAAACCUGCUGCUAUCGACGAUAUCGUGGCAGUUAUGAGUUAAUUGAAGCAAGCAUAGGCUUCUGUAGGAUGUGAAGUUGGUGCAUGCAUGCAUAUACCAUGUGGUCAGUUACUACAAUCGAUAUGGCAUCGUAGUAGGGACCGGAGGGACGGGUAAGCGUAGGUACCCGGGCAUGCUUGCAUUGUGAGAGCGUAUCACCUGUUUGAGCAGGUAGAGAGCUAGAUAGCACUAGCAGAUGCUGGUGAUGAUUGUGGGACGAGAAAUGAGACUCGUGGUAAAGACGAAACGGUGAAGUGACUCUCAAGACAACGGGUAGUUGAAUGUGAGAGUUGCGCCGUGACCUUGAGGAUACCCGAGUAGUCCGAGUAUUCGGAUAUAGAUCCGGUAGGUUGAACAGUGGAAAGUAGACUCACUGUCGAGAGAAUAGCCGGUUACAUGCUGAGUACAGGCACGUAGGCCUAGUAGUACCUCAGUUUGAGGUUGGAAGUUGCGCUUGUUUGGUCGGCGUGCAUAGGCAGCGUUGCCUAUUGCUGGAUGUAGUGUGGAACGCUAUAGAGACGUACGACGUAAAGAGCGCUCGAGUAUAGAUACUCGUAGAGUGCGGAUUUGACUCAGCCGGAAGAGUGUGUUGGCAGUAGCACUUCAGCAUUGCUAGUGUGAAGCGGGCCAUGGAACACUCGUAGGGCUGGUGGCUCGCACUAGGUGCUUAGGAGCCGAUAGUGGUAUAUGUGACUCGAUAGAGUGUGUCGUGUAGGACGACGACGGCGGGUAGUGCUUGGGGACGACCCGUGCCUGGACUAUUUGUGGACUGUGGAGCCUGGACCCAUUGGGCAGGCGCAGUCAGCUGUGAGAGACAGCGGCCCGAUACCUACGGGUGGGGCAGAGUUUUGGUCAGGGCGGUAGUCCGAGCUUGGACCCGAGUGCGUGGAAUGCCACGUGUGGAUCAUGAGAUCGAGGAUACACCGAGUGUGUAGUGACCCAACCCAAGGAUUUGACGUGGUUUGGGGUCCUAGUUGCUCCUGGUUGGAGUGUGUGCGAAUUCUCCAAUGAGAAUUUCGCCGAAUAAUAAUGAUUGGGUCUACGCUAGUGAGCGAGAGAUGCUACGCGUAGUUGAGACCGGUUUAGGCGAUAGGCCUACGUAGGGUUGGUGACCCGUGGUUCACCUGUGGAUUUAAGGAAAGGGAUUGAGCGAGUAGCCUUAUCGACGAGUUUAGGCUUGAAUUUACGAACGGGAGUUCAUGUGAGUUCGUUGCAAGAACGAGUUGAUGAUGAUCGUGGCAUAUGGUAUUCAAGGAUAUACUGCUCGUGCGAGACAUUGAGCUAUUGGAAGCCACGAGAGAUAGAGGAUCGAAGUUGAUGCUCCUAAGUGAAUUGGGGCUUGAGGAUAAUGCUCUUUGAUGGAUUGAGAUUGGAGAUGUGCCGAAAUGUGCCAUCUCAUAAUAGAGCAAAGAUCCAUAUGUAGUUGGAGCACUCGCGAUUGGUCGAUGCACCCAUGAUAUUGCUUCUAAGCAAUGUCGGUGAUCGAAUCGGAGUGUGUUCCCUGACAGGAAGGUAAAUGCAAAGAAGAGUUCUUGCAUACCAAGUGGUGAAUGAUGUUGUAGCGCGUAGAGUCGUUGAGUUCCGACUUGCGCUACCACAAAGAAUGGCGGAGACCCGUAAUGCACUUUCGGGGUUAUGCUUAACAAAUGUGAGUGAAUCUGGUCUCACAUUCCCCGUAGUGGGCCUUUGGACAGUUCCAAUGAGCAUAAGGCCACUCUGAGGUGGAAAAGUGCAUUGUACACCUUGAUACUCGAUAAGUUAAGUUGGGGUGCAAAUUGGAGUUGGAUUUAUUUGAGUUUCGAGGACGAAACUCCUUUUAAGGAGGGGAGAAUGUAACAUACCGAACUUCUAAAAUCAUGAAGUUACGGUGUACAUUUAAAUGUUUCCGGUGAGGUUGCGGUGGAAUGUAACAUACCGGAUUUUAAAUAUAAAAAUAAAAAUAAAUAAAAAUAGUAUGAGAUACUAUUUUUAUUGGGUUUAGAGAAGUGAAAUAUAGAUUGGAAAUGACCUGUGCUGAAAUCGGAGUGAAAACAGAAAACUUAGAAUUUUCUGUUGGAAUCGGGGCAGAUAAAUUAGCAGAAAAUGCACAGUGUCAGAAAAUAUUAAAAAUUGGAGGAUAUGUCAGAAAUAUUUUUAUGAGGUUAGAUUUAAAGUUUCAUAUUUUUCUGACACCUGGAAGGUGAAAAAUAAAAUCCAACAAGUUAUCUACUAAGGAUUACAGUUCGGUAAAGUUUUCAGUGUCCAAACGGGGUCGAAACUGAAAUAUUAAAAUUUCUUUGGACUUAUUAAGUAAAACCGAGCAUGCCUGUCAAAUUUGAGCGAAAACGGACAUCCAGAAGGGCUCCGGCGAAAAAUAAACUGCCCGAAGUGAAUAGUGCAUAGUUGAGGGGCAAAAUGGUAAAAAGGGACUUAAACCCUUUUAUCCUCCUUCCUCCCCAACCGUGGCUGCCCCAAACCGAACCACACACACAUACAAGCACACACGCAUGGAAAGGAAAGGAGAGAAAUCUCUUUCUCUCUCUAGAUCUCUCCUGAAACGGAUGGAUUUGGUGGAGAUUGAAGCUUGGAGGUGGAUCGCCUUCGUCUUCUUCAUCUUCUCCAUAGUUUGGAGCUUAUUUUGAGGUGAGCUUUUCGAUCCCUUUCAUGGUAGAUCUCCAAAGCUUUAUUUAUAAUUCAUAGAAAUGGAUUUGUUGGAAUCCUAUGAUGCUAAAUAGGUGAUUGUUGCUUAAGUUAUGGAUCAAUUUAGUGAAUUUUGCCAUACUUGAAACCUAGGGCUCCAAAAUGCAAAUUUUGCUAGGAGAUGGGUUUGAUCUAAAUUAACCCUCCGUUAACCUAAUUGUUAGGUAAACAAACGCAUUGGCGAAGACGGUUCGGCAAUCCGACGAGCCGUUGCGAAGUUAUUAAAGAAACGGAUGUUUAGGCUUCGGGUCCGCCGGGAGGGCCGAGGCGACGUCGUAAAAUCCUGGAAACGGAUUUGAAGCACCGUAACAGCAAAUCGAAGACCCUUUUUACCCGGGGCUGCGAAGCGAUGCGCGAUUGGUGAGUAAUUUCGAGUUCGGGCCGAACCGGGCACCGGGUGCCGCGGGAGGCCGAUUGCAAGUGUCGACAAGCAAUCGGAACGCGAAUCGAGGUGGGUUGUGCUUACCGAAGCGACUAGAUCGCCUUUAUGUCUAAG
rnacentral:lncRNA from 1 species